CUCAUCCGCCCUGGAGACUGAAGUUAGCACAGCUUAACCACAGAGACAGGUGCAGUUUUGCUUACAGUGAUCUGCCAUGUAGUUCAGCUCUGACCUUAGAGAAUUGCCUCAGGCCUAAGGGGGAUACUUCAGUCUCUGUGCCUGCUGACUCAUUGGCAUCC